rnacentral:lncRNA from 1 species
UUCGUGUAUUAAAAUAAUCAAAAUCUGUCAUCUUGGCUUUCUUUUCUCUGGCUUCAGUCUUCUUGGCCCACUUUGUGGCCACACGUUUUGUACUGAUAUCUGCCUUCUGCCAGGCCUGUGGGACAUACUGCUGGAGGACACUGUGUGGUAACUUAAGGAUAGAGUCAGUUAGCCGCAGGCAUUUGGGAGGCACAGCCUACUUCCUUGCCUGAGUACACUCCAUCCACCAAAGCCCUGUUCUGAA